AUGAACGCUGGCGGCGUGCCUAAUACAUGCAAGUCGAGCGAACAGACGAGGAGCUUGCUCCUCUGACGUUAGCGGCGGACGGUUGAGUAACACGUGGAUAACCUACCUAUAAGACUGGGAUAACUUCGGGAAACCGGAGCUAAUACCGGAUAAUAUAUUGAACCGCAUGGUUCAAUAGUGAAAGACGGUUUUGCUGUCACUUAUAGAUGGAUCCGCGCCGCAUUAGCUAGUUGGUAAGGUAACGGCUUACCAAGGCGACGAUGCGUAGCCGACCUGAGAGGGUGAUCGGCCACACUGGAACUGAGACACGGUCCAGACUCCUACGGGAGGCAGCAGUAGGGAAUCUUCCGCAAUGGGCGAAAGCCUGACGGAGCAACGCCGCGUGAGUGAUGAAGGUCUUCGGAUCGUAAAACUCUGUUAUUAGGGAAGAACAAAUGUGUAAGUAACUAUGCACGUCUUGACGGUACCUAAUCAGAAAGCCACGGCUAACUACGUG
rnacentral:rRNA from 1 species